rnacentral:rRNA from 1 species
AGGAAGUAAAAGUCGUAACAAGGUUUCCGUAGGUGAACCUGCGGAAGGAUCAUUACCGAACUGUCGACACGAGCUGUUGCUGGCCCCCGAAAGGGGACACGUGCACGCUCUGUUUACACAUCCACUCACACCUGUGCACCCUCUGUAGUUCUAUGGCCUUGGGGACCCUGUCCCCUUGCUGUGGUCCUACGUCUUUACACACACACAUCGUAACAAAGUCUCAUGGAAUGUAUGUCGCGUUUAACGCAAUACAAUACAACUUUCAGCAACGGAUCUCUUGGCUCUCGCAUCGAUGAAGAACGCAGCGAAAUGCGAUAAGUAAUGUGAAUUGCAGAAUUCAGUGAAUCAUCGAAUCUUUGAACGCACCUUGCGCCCUUUGGCUAUUCUGAAGGGCAUGCCUGUUUGAGUAUCAUGAACACCUCAACUCUCAUGGUCCGCCAUGAUGAGCUUGGACUUUGGGGGUCUUGCCGGCCUAGCGUCGGCUCCUCUCAAAUGGAUCAGCUUCCCAGUGUUUGGUGGCGUCACAGGUGUGAUAACUAUCUACGCUUGUGGUUUCCUGCCAUUAACCUUCAGCAAUGGAGGUUCGCUGGAGCUCACAGAUGUCUCUCCUUGGGGAGGACAGCUUUUGAAUGUCUGAUCUCAAAUCAGGUAGGACUACCCGCUGAACUUAAGCAUAUCA